UGCCAGCAGCCGCGGUAAUACGGAGGGUGCAAGCGUUGUUCGGAAUUACUGGGCGUAAAGGGCGUGUAGGCGGCACAAUUAGUCAGGCGUGAAAGCCCCGGGCUCAACCUGGGAACUGCGUUUGAUACUGCUAUUCUUGGGUGCGGGAGAGGCUGAUGGAAUUCCUGGUGUAGCGGUGAAAUGCGCAGAUAUCAGGAAGAACACCAGUAGCGAAGGCGGUCAGCUGGCCCGCAACUGACGCUCAGGCACGAAAGCGUGGGUAGCGAACAGGAUUAGAUA
rnacentral:rRNA from 1 species